CUACAAUGUAGAUGCACCCUACGUUACUCUCAACAGGGAUGUCUGAGUUCACUUGGCAUCUGUUGGAUGUCAUCCUGGACUGCAGGUCUCAAGUAGUUAGGUAGAGGAUAGGAUUAGACUGAGGGAACCCUUUCUGUAUUCCCAUGUAUGCCUAGAUAGGCCUUUCUUUUCCCUCUCUUGCUUUCCUGUUUACAUUGACUUCCUCACCUUGUUGUUGUAGUAAUGUGACCCUUUAGGGAUGAGGCAACUUCCUCUAUCUAUUGGAAUGUUAAUUGCCCCAAGGCUUUGAUCAUUUAGUCAGCCCCACUUUGCCUGGUUCCUCCUUUGUCUUCAACCUGAGAAGGCCACAUUUUGCCUCUCUCCUGGCAAAAUGUAGCUAUUUAGAUAUUUUGUUAUUUUUUUACCUUCUUACCUUCCUUAGUGGCUAGCCUAGAGAGCUAGUUAGCUCCAAGAACCUUUUCUAUGUACUUUUUACCUCAAUAAAUGAUUUUUGAACUUUCAAGGAGACUUUGCAAUCCUUUGCCAUCCUGAGGGACAAAGGCCUCUCCAAGCUCACCACACGCUAGAACUUCUAGAGCAUGGAAAAAGAUGUCUUUUGGGGCUGACAUUCCUCAGAUCCUGGUUGGGCUAUUUUGCAAGUGGCAAUCCAAAAUGAAGAACCAUCUCCAACCCAACAAGAGCUACCAAGGCGCUGUAGGCCAUCUUUUGUUGGGAAUCACCCUAGACUACUCGUCUAAAUAUAGUCAGAUAGAUGAUAGAGUUAGAUUGAGGGAAUCCUUUCCCCGUUUCCAAAGCAUGCCUAGAUAGGAUUCACCAUUGUUUCCUGCUUCCAGUCCUAUUUAGGUCAGUCCACCCUUUGAUAUUUGUAGAAAUCUCCUCUCCUAGGGCUUUGACGUAACUUCCCCAAUUUGGUCUUUGGAAUGUUUAUGGCCCUAGAGAAGAAGCAACCCAUGAGGCUUGGUCGCCAUUCCAGCUUCCUGCCUUGUCCCACCUCUGUCCUCUAUUAGUCAAGAUGUAGCUAUCUAGAGCUUUGUUAUUUUAAUCUGUCUAUGUGUAUUAGAACAGGAUAGAUAAGAUAGUUAGCUCCAAACCUUUUCUAUCCAUCAAUGGAUUUCUUUUUACCUCAAUAAAUGUUUUUAAACUUUAAAGCUAA